CUUCCCUCAAUGCCGCCGGUUCGAAUCCCGCGUCCCCGACCGCGCCUCGCUGAGCUUAGAUGACAAGCCUGGCAUGGUCAGCAGGCAGCAAGCGCUCUGGGAGUCGUGGUAAGUAAGAAGUACAAGGAGAUGACACAAAGCUAGAGCAUAGAAAGCUGCACAGAUCCCAAAACACCCUUAGGAUUCAACCAUUAAUCCUUCUGUGUUGUUUUCUGUUCUAUUCCUGUGGAGGCCGAUGUGCUGGGGAGCAGUGGUGGGGAGAGCCAUAGAUCGGCCUAAAGGAGGUGGGGACCCGGUGUGGUGUCCCUGAGCAGCAGUUGGACGUCCUUGAGCUGAGCAUGCCCGAGCCAGCGCCGCACAGCACGGAGAAGAAGCGUGCAGAGAAGGUGGGAGCGAAGGGCAGUGCCGCGGUGCCCGCAGUCCCCAAGAGCCUCCCCGUGAAGGCAAAGGUGGAGCCCCACAGCCUGGACCCCGCAGAGGAGCCACUCAUCUGGGAAGGGCUCACCCUCAACAAGUGCAUCCUGGUGGCCUCCAUUGUCGCCCUGCUCAGCGUCAGCUUCCAGGUGCUCCAAGCGCCACCAUGCCCCAGGGAUGGUGUCAGCAGUGGCAAACAAGAGCCCCCAGCAGCUCCCAUCCACGGUGUCGUCAUCCCCAAGGAGGAGGUCCUAGAGGUGGUGGCUCCCCAGCCUGUCCCGCCUGAGAGCAGCAUGCUGGAGGAUGAUGAUGGUGACGAUGAUGGUGACGAUGAUGAUGAAGCGGACAGCAACCUGGCCGAGCCCUGGAUCUUCAAGAAGUGGUUUGGCCGCUCGGAGCCGGGGCACAAGGAGGAAGAGCCUGGAGAAGAGGGGGAAGUGCCCACAGAGAAACCUGAGGAGCCAACAGCCAAAGUGGAGCUGAGGAAGGGCCAGGAGAAACCACGGAGCCCAGAGAAGAAAGAGGAGAAGGUCCGAGGUCCAGAAAAGGAGGAGAAAACUCGAGGCCCAGAGAAGAAGGGGGAGAGAAAGGAGAAGGAGGAAGAGAAGAAGGAGGA
rnacentral:lncRNA from 7 species